UACGUAGGGGGCUAGCGUUGUCCGGAAUCAUUGGGCGUAAAGAGCGUGUAGGCGGUUCGGUAAGUCCGCUGUAAAAGUCCAGGGCUCAACCCUGGAAAGCCGGUGGAAACUGUCGAACUAGAGUCCGGAAGAGGCGAGUGGAAUUCCUGGUGUAGCGGUGAAAUGCGCAGAUAUCAGGAGGAACACCAAUGGCGAAGGCAGCUCGCUGGGACGGUACUGACGCUGAGACGCGAAAGCGUGGGGAGCAAACAGG
rnacentral:rRNA from 1 species